UUAAGCACUGAACAGUUGGUCAUGCCCCUCUGAUUCAUACACACGAGAUGCUUUACCAACGAUGUUGAAAUGUCUGAACUUGCUGAAGACCUGAAGUAGCUAAUUCAGUAAUUGGUAAACUUUGUUCUGCAUUUGUGAUUUGUCCAUCUGGUUAUCUCUUAUUUGAUACUAGUUACUAGGUACUCAUUACUUAAUUUAAUAGUUAAUACCUACUCUUUGAAUAGACAUGGAUGUUGGUGAGCUUCUUUCAUAUAAGCCUCAAACAAGUUUGAAGCAUGGGCUUGAAGAUGAAGAAGAAGCCCAACCACCCAGUAAGAAUAGCCUCAUCACUAGCAGUGGAUUAGGAAAUGCUAGAAAGAAAAGCAGACUAACAGGCUUGCAGCGUAGCUCCAUGAGCAGCAGUCACAGCAGAGCUGCUAUGAUUCCCCCCACCCCU
rnacentral:lncRNA from 1 species